ACUUGGAAAAUCUCUACAUGUUAAGUGAAAAACUUUGUUUCUUUAAAAUUAAAACAAGGUAAAACUUAAUUGUCUCAUACUUAAAGAAAUGUAACUGUCUAGAGACAGGUCUGAAGUCGUCUGCACACAACACUUAAGAGCGGCGGGCGAGGCGUGUCACAAUGGGAGGGCGCUGAAGGAGAAUGACUCUUUUUACUCUAUAUAAUUCUCUAUUGAAUUUGUAUAACAAGAAUGAAUGGCCAUAUUAAUUAUGUAACUUAAAACUAUAAUAAUUUCGGGGCUGGCCCCGUGGCCGAGUGGUUAAGUUCGCGCACUGCUCUGCAGGCGGCCCAGUGUUUCGUUGGUUCGAAUCCUGGGCGCGGACAUGGCACUGCUCAUCAAACCACGCUGAGGCAGCGUCCCACAUGCCACAACUAGAAGGACCCGCAACGAAGAAUAUACAACUAUGUACUGGGGGGCUUUGGGGAGAAAAAGGAAAAAAAUAAAAUCUUUAAAAAAAACCAAAACUAUAAUAAUUUCAAUUAUUUAAAAAAAAUGGCUGAGACAUUUUAUCUUCCCAUACUUGGACGAAAAUACCUGAUUUUACCUGACGGGCAUGCACAUGUCAGUAUAAUCCAAGACAGCAGUCCUCAAAGAGAGGUUUGUAAACUACCUCUAACAGAGCCCCUUGGCAUGCCUGAAAAAAAAAUACACAUCCCCAGGCCCCGCUUCCAGUGGAUUUAAUUCAAUAGAUGUGGGAUGGUCCCAGGAGUUUGCAUUUUAACAAACUCAUGAGCAGAAUUUGAGAACCACUCGGGCAGGGAAUUAACUUUAUUUGGGUUUCAUUGCCCCCUGAAUGGUUUUAAAUUCCCGUUCUCUUUGAGGAGGAGAGAAAAUAAGGCCAGAUUAACAUCAGGUAGGAACAGGAGACGGUAAUUUAGUAGCUGAAUUUUCAAAAAUGCUGCCCCACCACCUGUGUUUGUGUCUGCAGGUGCUGACCUGUGUCUACCUGAAGUGGUUACUUGUACACAAAUCCACACCUGCCAGAUCUGCGCCAACUCAGAACCGAGGCAGGAGAGAGAAAAUACUGACCCACUUACAGCGUUGGUGCCACCCGACUCCUCAGCCGCCCGGAAGCCGAUCGUCUGCCUUUCCCCACCGCGUCAGCGCCGUGUCCCGAGCUGAAGGCCGGCGAGGAUGGCGCAGGCAGAGCUUGGUUUCAUGGACAAGCAGUUCAGAGUCACGUUUGAGGCAAUUUUUCCAGUUAGGAUAGCUGACUCAAAUUUCAGUUUUUCUUUGCUUCUCGGUUUUGAGGUACCAGAUGUGCUAAGCAUAAUAUGACAUAUUGUUAUCUUUAUUUAUUAGUCUCUGAGAAUUAAUUAUCUUUAGCUGAUACCAAGCUCACCUCUCCCCCAGUCACUGCGUGAUUGCUGUUUCAACAGAGAAGUCAAAGAAAAAGAUCAAGGUUUAGGGGCCCUCUCAAGCUUUUGCUCUCAUUUGACAUCCAGGAUUUCAUCUAUUUUUCACGCCAGUCAAUAACAAUUUGCCUGAAAUUCCAUUUUAAUGCUGUGAAGAUGACUGUGUCUCUCUCUGAAAUGCCGUUAGGUCCACCAGGUCAUUGACACAACAGAAAAACCAUAUUUCAGUCCUUUAUUAGUUGUAACUGAC
rnacentral:lncRNA from 1 species